rnacentral:misc_RNA from 1 species
GAUGAAGAACGUAGCGAAAUGCGAUACGUAAUGUGAAUUGCAGAAUUCCGUGAAUCAUCGAAUCUUUGAACGCACAUUGCGCCCGCCAGCAUUCUGGCGGGCAUGCCUGUUCGAGCGUCAUUUCAACCCUCGACGUCCCCCGGGACGUCGGCCUUGGGGACCGGCAGCACCCCGCCGGCCCUGAAAUGGAGUGGCGGCCCGUCCGCGGCGACCUCUGCGAAGUACUACAGCUCGCACCGGAAACCCGCCGCGGCCCCGCCGUGAAACCCCCAACUCUGAACGUUGACCUCGGAUCAGGUAGGACUACCCGCUGAACUUAAGCAUAUCAAUAAGCGGAGGA